ACGGCAAAUACCUACCAUGUAUCUACUUGAACUAGAAGAAGUCCUUAGUGUUAGGCCACAGUCGUGAAGAAGAGGGAGGAGCACCGUUAUUUCCAGCACUUGUUAUUGAUUGCGAGCUUCCCAGCAUGCGGUGUUAUGAUUGGAAGUCUCUGCUCUGAAGGUCCAAGGCGCAGACUACUGAAGAGCAUCAGGUGUGCAAGCUCAGAGGAUUCAUCGCUCUGUUGUGAAAACAUAUCGCUUACACUGCUUUUGUUUUCUCAUAAAAGUUGGCAUU